CAUUUCCCAUCGGUUUGCAGAGAACAGCAGAUGAACGGUGUGAUCCUCCAGAUUGCUCUUCUUCUCCAGGUGUCCCAGCAUGGGCUGCGCUCCAGCUGCUGAGAUCCGUGCAGGUACAUUGGACGGUCCUGGUCCCAGCAUAAGCCGUUGAGGAACAGGGAAAGGCUUUAGCAGACAUUCCGGUGGAAGAACAGACAGAGACGACAUAAUGCUGCCAGUGCACUGAGAGACUGAGUGGUAGUGGACUUGUUCUGGAUUAGGAGGUGCUUCCCCAAUGGCUGAGAACUGAAAGAUCCAUGACUGUAAACCACCUGGCCUCGCACUAUAGUGAACCUCACCAUACCCCGCAGAAC
rnacentral:lncRNA from 1 species